CAGUCUCUUCGAAACAGAGAUCACCUUAUCGAGCAGUAACAAAAUCGAGUACGGCAUAUUUAUCUAGAAAUAGAUUUUCAACGUCCUCUUUCAGCAAUGAGAGGCGGUUCUCAAGAACGUGAGUGCUCUACUAAAUGCAUGAAAACAUGUAUGGAGAUAAAAGUUCUUUCAUUAACACUUGGCAUGUACUAAAGUUUCAUCGCUUUGUCGUCUCUAUGGAUCUAUCGACUUAAUGGCGAUAGAUCAGAUAUGUUACUAUUUUUAACAGAAACAUAUAGAGGAAUAAUGAAUCUUUAUUGAUGCUAUGAUUAUAUUGAGAGGAUUGAUAAAUCAAGUAAUCGAACUUGAAGCUGGAGGUUUAUCACGUAAAAAUGUUUGUCGAGAAAAAUAUAGAUGAUAUGAAGUUUUUUUAGAAGAAUGUUAGUGUGAACGCAUUAAAUUCACAGUUUUGGUGAGAAACGUUCUAUGCGUGACACCUAAGCGUUUUACUAAAUAAAAGCUUCUCGUGAAGCCACGUCACCACGUCACAUUUCUUGCCAAUAAACUUUUAGGUAAAUUUUAAAAGUGCGGGGAUAUAUUUUAAAAAUAUUUUUUGGUUCAAAAUUUAAUAUAAUUUGAGGCGAAAAAAUGAUUUAGAAUUUGUAAGCCAUGUGCACAACAUGCUCGUUAAAUCAAGAGAAAAAUAAGAAACUGAAUAAACUACAUACGCAAAGCCCGAGACAAGAGGCUAUAGGGCAACGUUUUGAGUAGAAAAAAAAAAGAAAAGAAGCAAACACCGUUUAAUUUAAACACCAACAAGUUUACAAGUGAAAAAAAACUGCUCUCCUUCUAGCUCGUUGGAGAUUCUAUCUCUGAUCUUCGAUGAUAUGUCGCUAAUAAGUCGUCGUCGUUUUUGUUGUAGGUCUUUGCAUGUUGGAGUAAGAAGAGGAAAACACAAAGGGAGAGAAAAAUAAGUAUAAGGAAGAAGAUCAUCAUCGAAAAAACAAAUAUCAAUCGUAUGUCGAUCCAUUCCAGAGAUCGUUUAGGUGGAUAUCCCAUUGAAAUUGAUUAAUUAUGCAAAAUAUGAUAAGC
rnacentral:lncRNA from 1 species